GNGAGGAUAUUGCGCAAUGGACGAAGUCUGACGCAGCCAUGCCGCGUGCAGGAUGACAGCCCUAUGGGUUGUAAACUGCUUUUCUGCUUUAAGAACCAGCCUUACGUGUAAGGCCUUGACGGUACAGCAGGAAUAAGCAUCGGCUAACUCCGUGCCAGCAGCCGCGGUAAUACGGAGGAUGCAAGCGUUAUCCGGAUUCAUUGGGUUUAAAGCGUGCGCAGGCGGAUGGGUAAGUCAGAGGUGAAAGCCUGCAGCUUAACUGUGGAAUUGCCUUUGAUACUGUCCAUCUUGAGUCCAGCUGAAGUAGGCGGAAUGUAGUAUGUAGCGGUGAAAUGCUUAGAUAUACUACAGAACACCCAUUGCGAAGGCAGCUUACUAAACUGGUACUGACGCUCAGGCACGAAAGCGUGGGGAGCAAACAGGAUUAGAUACCCUGGUAGUCCACGCCGUAAACGUUGAUCACUUCGUUGUUGGCAAUACACCGUCAGCAACCCAGCUAACGCCGUAAGUGAUCCACCUUGGGGAGUACGAUCGCAAGGUUGAAACUCAAAGGAAUUGACGGGGGCCCGCACAAGCGGAGGAGCAUGUGGUUUAAUUCGAUGAUACGCGAGGAACCUUACCUGGGCUUAAAUGUAGUGUGCAUANGCGUGAAAACGCCUUUUCCUUCGGGACCCACUACAAGGUGCUGCANUGGUUGUCGUCAGCUCGUGCCGNGAGGUGUCGGGUUUAAGUCCCAUAACGAGCGCAACCCCUAUCUUUAGUUGCUAACAGAUCAUGCUGAG
rnacentral:rRNA from 1 species